rfam:Triticum urartu cultivar G1812 contig414140, whole genome shotgun sequence.
AACAUACUCCCUCCGUCCGAAAAUACUUGUUAUCAAAAUGGAUAAAAAGAGAUGUAUUUAGAACUAAAAUACGCCUAGAUACAUCCCUUUCUAUCCAUUUUGAUGACGAGUAUUUCCAGACGGAGGGAGUAUAAG